AGGGUAUGCUCAGGGCAGGGGGCCUGAAGAAUGGCUCCUCUGUUUACAACACACCCAACAGGAAUCUGAGGUCACUGUGAUGAGGAACACAAAACUUGUAACCUCCCUAUGAACAAAUGCCCUACAUGU
rnacentral:snoRNA from 1 species